rnacentral:misc_RNA from 1 species
AACUUUCAACAAUGGAUCACUUGGCUCUCGCAUCGAUGAAGAACGCAGCGAAAUGCGAUAAGUAAUGUGAAUUGCAGAAUUCAGUCAAUCAUCGAAUCUUUGAACGCACCUUGCGCCCUUUGGCUAUUCCGAAGGGCAUGCCUGUUUGAGUAUCAUGAACACCUCAACUCUCAUGGCUUGCCAUGAUGAGCUUGGACUCUGGGGGUCUUGCUGGCUCAUGGUCAGCUCCUCUUCAAUGGAUCAGCCUUCCAGUGUUUGGUGGCAUCACAAGUGUGAUAACUAUCUACGCGUGUGGUGUAUUCCCAGGUAACCUUAAGUGAUGUAGGUCGCUGGAGCUAAUAAAGGCACAUCUCUCAUUGUAGAGAUGGCCUUUUAGAUGUUUGAUCUCAAAUCAGGUAGGACUACCCGCUGAACUUAAGCAUAUCAAUAAGCGGAGGCU